GUAGGGUGUCAGCAGCGUGAUGGGAUGAGCAAUGCAGGGAUACCCACCAUCACCCAAAAGGAUCCUUCAGGGCCUUUAUUCUUCGGUGGCAGCCAUCAAUGCUCCCUACGACCUUUUGGAAGGUGGAAGACCAAGGAAGCUGCUAAAAACCAGAGGUGACUAAUGGCAGUUCAUUCCCACUGGAUGCUGGGUGACCCUGCUCAUCAGCUGGAGGAUGCGGUCUGCCGUCCUGUGGACAAUGUCACUCACAGUGGACCGUGUCAUGUCAAAGGCCCUGGCUACCACACCGUAAGAUGUGCCACAUGCCAGCCAGAAAAGAAACACAAGCUGCUCCACCAGAUGCUCAAUGGUCCUGCGGGUCAACCGAUCUGCGGGUCUGCCGGUCUGGUCUUGUGUCGGACUGAGCGUCAGCGUGAAGGGCCACGACAGACACCUAUAUGUUGGCAAAGUAGUAGAGACGUGGAAGACCCUGUAAAAUAGAAAAAUAAUUAUUUCAUUUAGAAAAUUAAAUCUGAUUUUUUU